rnacentral:lncRNA from 1 species
CCCCAUUGAAAAAAGGUCUGGAGACCUGCAGUGGCGUGUUGUACAUGGUAUUAUAGCUACAAACAGACACAGAGCACAUUUUGAUCCACUAGUGGGGAUAGGGUAACCUUUCUGUGAACAGCAGGAGACAGUUUUUAAUUUGUUUGCUGACUAGGUUAUUGCCUCUCUUUGAAAUCCUUGGAGGGUGGUGUCAUACAUUAGGAGAAGUUUUCACACUUGAGUUGUACAUCUAUGGACCAAAAUAUAAACAUAGUGUAGGGCAGUGUAUUGUGCUCUCCACAAGAUGUCGCUAUGACACUGUUGUGUUAGGGCCUAUUCAAGUAUUUGUAUAGCUAUUUGAGCCUCUGAUGUACCGUAGUGUUGAUAGGAGUGUAGUGCGCCAUAUUUUCGUCAGUUCAUGUUAUCAACAUUAUAGGUAAGUCACGUUAGUAGUGGAAAUUUCAAUUAAAAUAUCUUUGUUGUUAUCCCUUUAAAGUUCUGUCUAUUGCGAUAUUUUGUGUUAUAAACUGCUAAAGACCCUAAUGCAGAAUAAUAUGGAGAGUUUAAAAUGUUUUUUUUGUUUGUUUGUUUGUUCUUCCUUUGGAGUGUGAUUAAUGCGGUGUGGCUGAUGCAAAGCUAUGUAUGAUAAUAUAAGCAGCGAGAGAUUUGUAUUGAAUUGAAUGUGCAUUGAAAUGUACUUUACUAGUUUAAAACUUAAGUCAGUUCAUGUUAUCAACACUAUAGAUGGCGUGCUGUGGAAUAAAUGGUCAAGCCACGAUCCCGAACUCCUCUGUGUCUGCGUCUCCUCUCUACCACUACCCACAAACACACAACACAGCGCAGAGUAUCAGCGGCGGUGCUAGAGUCCAGUUAGCACGCGGAGAGAGAGAGAGAGGGCCACAAUCGGGUCCGUGUAGGUCAGGGUAUGUUCAGGGUAUAUUCUGGCAAACCGUUUACCGGGUCAGGGUAUAUUCUGGCAAACCGUUUACCAAUCACGUUUCGCAAUCGGCAAAGCAAACUGUGGUACACGCCACUACCAACACGCGAUGGGUAACUCGCAAAGCACAUUAAUCCUUGCUGUUUUCCCAUCACGAUACCAUAGACAGUACGAGGUUGAGAAGUAGAAGGCGGGGCAACAGUUAAAACAUUUCAAAGUAAAAGUUCAUGCAAACAGAUAUUAAUAGACAAGUUUCAGUCAAAUAUUUAUGGUUAUAGCAAAAUCCAGUGUUAAAGUAGAGUACAAACAAUUAUAUUUGGAACAUUACAAUAUUGUAUCCAAUAUGCGGUCACUUCAGCGUAUUCAUUCCCGGGCUAAAGAACACACUUUUUUAGGGAUCACAUGCAUAGUUAUGCACAAUAAAGAGUACAAUAUACAACAAACACAAUAUAAGAAAAAUCAGAUAUAGUUUAAAUGUCCUUUGAAAUAACAUUGAGCACUUGUAUUGGUAUGCUGGUAAUUUUAAGUAGAUCAUUAAUUAUUAAAUACAUUUACAUUUAAUCAUUUAGCAGAAGCUUUUAUGCAAAGCGACUUACAAAUGACGACAAUAGAAGCAAUCAAAAC